UCUGGAGAGACCGGGCUCCGACAGAGACGCAGCUUUGUUCCACGGAGGCAGCCCUUUCCGAUACAUUAUAUAUAUAAUAUACGCCCUUUGACAGCUAAGACUAGCUAUGGCGAUGAUCUACAAGGCUUGAAGGGAUACAUCUCUGUUGAAGACGAAAUGCUUCACAAAACGAGCAGCGUGUUUGCUUGGGAUGCCACAAUUCCCACACCUGGCAGCCAAUGGUCCUUUCGGGUGGAGUUUGUGACUCCACUCCACUGAAUUCUAUGCCGGGUGUUAAGACCGUUAAAGGCUGACAUCAAUUUCAGCUGAAAUUAAAUAGAAUACCUCAGUGGCUUCUGCUUCGACUUGGUGAGUUAUAUUCUGGAAAUUACUGGCUUCUUUUUCUCACCAGGCUUAACCCACAGCUUGGAUCUCACUAUCCAAUGCUGCUCUAAAUUGCUCGUUAACAUUUUGAACAAGCAAACAUACAGAGAAGUUGGAAAGUGAGCACAUGGGGAAUGGGGCUUGGCAAUGCUGGCAGGAGGCAAUGGAGGUCAACAAGUUAGAGGAUAUGCACUUUAAUUUAGUUCAGAAACAUUACAGUAAACAUGUAGAUAAACAGCAGCUCUGUUAACACAAUAGAAAGAUCUCACUGUAUUUUAAUCUCCUGGUGUUUCUAUAAAUAAAGGAAUUAAUUUUUAUAAUGUGGCCCCUGUAGGCUGGUUCAACACAGCUUUCUAAUGCAGCUUGAACUACAUUAAACGGCAUUAUAUGAUUCGACAGUGGCCAUACAGUGCCAGUCAAACUGCAUUAUAUGGCAGUAUAGGACCAGCCUUAGACAAAACUUCCACUUGAACAAAAAAGGUCAUGUAAGGCCUCUCAUAAAGAGUCUGUCUCUUCUCAGAUGACCAGCACAUGUCACAAGAUGUGCAAUUGCUCUUGAAGAAACUCCGCUCUUCACAUACCCACAUCAGAAAUUCAGUAUCAGCCUUUCACCCACUACACCAGGAUGCACAAAGAUUUUAUUGUGUCACAGAAAUUCAGCCUACAGGCUCCCAAAUGACUUAAUGACCUGCCAAUAAUAUCUUACCAUGUUUACUGGGAUGUAUGUGCUAAACAGAAACAUUGUGACUCCUUCAGCAGCACUAUGUGUAACUGGCUGUUAGGGAGCCAAUCUUCAGCCCAAAGUAGCAGAGUAUCUUGCUAGCUCUAAUCAAAGCUUGAGAAAGCUACUUUUGGACUAUAACGCACCAGAUUCCCACAGAUGGCUGGCAUAUUUUGGGAGUUGUGGUUCAGAAGUGUAACUUUCUCAGGAUCAUUUAGAACACUAUAGUCUUUAGUUUUUUGUUUUUUUAAAAAAAAUGUUUUAUUAAUUUAUCAAUCCAAAUGUACAAGCUCACAUUUUCCUCAUUCUACAAUAUCUCAAACACAUCACGUUGCAUACAAUCUGACAGCAAAAAAAAAACAAAACAAAAACAAGAACAUCCCCAAGCAUAUUUCCCAUCAGUCUAUUAACUUUUCCAUUACAACUUCACUAUAUAUCUCUCUACUACACACCCUUCAUCUACCUAUACAUGUUUUAUUUUCAAUAUUAUUAUUAUUAAUUUAUAAUUCAAAAUGUAUAAGUAUACAUUCUUUCCUCAUUUUACAGUAUCCCAGACAUAUCACAUUGUAUGCAAUCCAACAAUAAAGAAAAAUCAGAAUCAAAACAUAUUUAUGCAUAUUUCUUAUUAGUUUUAGACUUUUCCAUUACAACUUUACUACAUAUCUCUCAACUACACCCUUUUAUUUACUUAUACAUGUUUUAUUUAUUAUUAUUAUUAUCGUUAUUAUUGUUAUACCUUUUCCCCCUCUUCCCUUCCGCUUAUUUUGUGCCACCUUCACCAGGACCAACCAACUCAUACUGUUUCACAAGUCCAAAAUUUCAUUGUCUCUGUUGCUGGCUUAUACCCCUUUCCCUCAUUAAAAAUAUACUCAAUAAAUUUUCUCCAUAUUUUCCAAAAAUCUGUUUGUUUCGAUAUUCCCUUUUUAAUUUUAAUAUUGCAAGUCAGCUUAUCGUUGAUUGCUAUGUUCCAAAUUUCCCUGUACCAUUCUUCUAAUUGGAUUUCCUUUUUUCUUUCCAGUUUUUUGCUAUUAGCAAUUUUGCUGCAGUUAUCAAAUUAGAAACCAAUUCUUUCUCCUCUUGUGAGAGGAUAUUAUCAUGCAUAAGUAAUAAUGCUGAUUUAGGUGUAUUCAUUAUCUCUAUUUUUAUUAUAGAACCAUAUAGUCUUUAGGAGGACUGGCUGGGACAGACGACUGCAAAAGUUUUAAUUUUGGAUUAAUAUUUUUGGAGUGUGAGACAUCAUAACUACCAGAUUCACCUGGCAGCUGGCCAUAACCAUGGGCAGGAUUGGGUACAUUCAUUUAAAAAAGAGUUGACUUUCAGAUCUCACACUUCCUUGACAAUCCUGGUUACACCAUUAAGAAGAGUGAAGCAAACUACCUUAAAAUCUGAUAUCAAGAGGAAGGAAACAGUGGUGGUAACCUCCUAGCUUUUCCUUGUGCAGCUGGUUAAGUAGCCAGCUGCAAUAAAUGACUAUGACCAAGAGGUCAUGAGUUCGAGGCUGGCCCAUGUCGGAGUGAGCACCCGACCAACACCAUAAAAAUUGUCCAGCAGCCAUUUGGAAUGAGGAAGUAUACAUCAAGAUGUCACAGUGGAUGAUGAAGCACCUGUUCCCCCUGUGGCCAGAAUUGAGCAUCCCUCCCAGGAAGCUGGAAGCUGGAGAAUGUUAAAUUGCCUCUGUGUCUCUGUCUUUGUCUAUGUCUCUAUGUUCAUAUGGCAUUGAAUGUUUGCCAUGUAUGUGUACAUUGUGAUCCGCCCUGAGUCCCCUCCGGGGUGAGAAGGGCGGAAUAUAAAUACUGUAAAUGAAUAAAUAAAUAAAUCAUC